rnacentral:tRNA from 1 species
GGAGGGAUGGCCGAGCGGAUGAAGGCGCUGGUCUCGAAAACCAGUGGGGCCUCACGGCUCUCAGGGGUUCGAAUCCCCUUCCCUCCG